rnacentral:rRNA from 1 species
UACGGAGGGUGCAAGCGUUAUCCGGAUUCACUGGGUUUAAAGGGUGUGUAGGCGGACUUUUAAGUCAGCGGUGAAAUCUCCGGGCUCAACCCGGAAACUGCCAUUGAUACUAUUGGUCUUGAAUGUUGUUGAGGUGGGCGGAACGGGUCAUGUAGCGGUGAAAUGCAUAGAUAUGACCCGGAACACCGAUUGCGUAGGCAGCCCACUAAGCAACGAUUGACGCUGAGGCACGAAAGCGUGGGGAUCAAACAGG